UUGAAUUGAGGAUUAUUGAGGUUUAAAUAAGUCAAGUUCUCAGAAAGUAGAAUUUUACGUCUAGUCAGGGUUUUUAAGAUUUCUUGCAAUCUACUAAUUCGAUUGGAGUGAAAUUUAUGUGAGAGGAUAUUAGACUUAUUUUUCUAUGUGUAUAAGAAUUUUGAGAUCAAUUGAAUGGAGAAAAAGAGAGAUAUUGGCUUUAGGAGAUUAGCAUCAAGGUUGGAGAAGGAGGCCAGAAAAUACCCAAACAUGUUCUUGAGGUUAUCGUCUAUU
rnacentral:lncRNA from 1 species